AAAUCUCCGCCCCCAGCUGGAGCGGCUGUGCGGGCUGCGUAGGGGUGCUGGGUCGGGCCGACGUGCCACCCACCCGGAGCCGGCUGUUGCAGAGGCGGCUUGCUUCCCACCUGUCCAUCUCCAUAAAAAUCCCUAAACGAAACAUGCCCACGUGUCCGGAGAUUUUCAGGACUUGGUGCAUUUCAGAUGAAGGCUUUUCCAGAAGCUUCCCCGUAGAAGAGGAUCAGGCAUCCAACUGGUUAAGGGAUGCCAGAAGGGCCGUUGGUGAGGAAAUUUCACCAUUUGGUCUCCCCCUUUGUGGGUCAGCAGGUGGUCAAGACAGGGGGCAGCAGUAAGAAGCUACAGCCCGCCAGCCUGCAGUCUCUGUGGCUCCAGGACACCCAGGUGAGGUCCAUGGAAAGAAAUUAUUCCUUAGAUUUGAUCUAGAUGAAGAAAUGGGGCCCCCUGGCAGCAGCCCAACACCAGAGCCUCCACAAAAAGAAGUGCAGAAGGAAGGGGCUGCGGACCCAAAGCAGGUCGGGGAGCCCAGCGGGCAGAAGACCCUUGAUGGAUCCUCACGGUCUGCAGAGCUCGUCCCCCAGGGCGAGGAUGAUUCUGAGUAUUUGGAGAGAGACGCCCCUGCAGGAGAUGCUGGGAGGUGGCUGCGUGUCAGCUUUGGUUUGUUUGGCAGCGUUUGGGUGAACGAUUUCUCCAGAGCCAAGAAAGCCAACAAGAGGGGGGACUGGAGGGACCCUUCCCCGAGGUAAUGGUGUGGCCAUCUGAUUUUCGUGGGCUCUGAUAGUCAUAGGGCCCUGCUUGGUGGGGUUUGGGACUUCAGCAGUGGGGACAUACUGAGGACGUCCAGUCUGCCCCCCAGGGCCCUGCUGUCUUGGGGAGAGAGGCCACCUCUGUAUCUACCUGUGAUAGGAAGUAGACUGUGGUCUGCAUGCAGGAGAGGGUUGUGCACCAAGAGGUGGCUGGGAGAAGGGGAGAAUUUUCCCAGCAAAUGUGGCACUUGAGGGGGGACUGUCCCUGAAGAACAUUUUAUUGCCUGACUCCUGACUAGUGUGCUUUGAAUUUAGGGAGAAGAUUUUCCCAGUUUUAUUUUAAGUAUAUUGUUUGUGUGUUUAUUUUUUAUUGAGAUAUAAUUAACAUUCAGUAGAAUGCAGAUCUUAAGUAUUCAGCUUGAUGAGUUUUUUUGCUUUGUUUUGAGACGGAGUCUUGCUCUGUUGGCCCAGGCUGGAGUGCAGUGGCACGAUCUCGCCUCACUGCAACCUCUGCCUCCCAGGUUCAACCAAUUCUCCUGCCUUAGCCUCGGAGGAGCUGGGACUACAGGUUGGUCCUGCACUUUGGUGGUGGUGGCUUCCUGGCAUUUUAUAAUUGUCAGUUGUCUUGGAGCUCUUCCCCAGUGGUCACACCCACCUGUGACAUCCUGUCUGAGAAGUUCCAUCGAGGACAAGCCUUAGAAGCUCUAGGCCAGGCUCAGCCUGUCUGCUAUACACUGCUGGACCAGAGAUACUUCUCAGGGCUAGGGAACAUCAUUAAGAAUGAAGCCUUGUACAGAGCUGGGAUCCAUCCCCUUUCUCUCGGUUCAGUCCUGAGUGCCUCGCGUCGGGAGGUCCUGGUGGAUCACGUGGUGGAGUUCAGUACAGCCUGGCUGCAGGGCAAGUUCCAAGGCAGACCGCAGCACACACAGGUCUACCAGAAAGAACAGUGCCCUGCUGGCCACCAGGUCAUGAAGGAGGCGUUUGGGCCCGAAGAUGGGUUACAGAGGCUCACCUGGUGGUGCCCGCAGUGCCAGCCCCAGUUGUCAGAGGAGCCAGAGCAGUGCCAGUUCUCCUAAGGAGCUGGUGGUGCUCCUCACGGAACCUUGCCGCUUGGGGAACCUGACGUCUAAGUGUCCAGAAAGGAGGAUGUGGGCAGGGACGGGGUACAGAGGAUAGUGUGGGUCAGAGGUGCCAGUAGUAUAAUAUUCGUCUCCCUGGAGUUAUGUUGAAGGCAGAGUUUUCAUAGGGUUAGAUUUUUUUUAUCCUUUUCUAGUUCAGUUAAUUCAUCCUGUUGAAUUGCACCAUCGUGAAAGAUGGGAAAAAUCGUGAUGAUGGGUAAGGGGAAAACUUCCCGGAAGGCAAUGGGGCAAGGAAAAAGAAAGCCUAUGGGAAAUGGCUGUGCUCCCAACAUAGCUUUGCAGAUGAUGUGGGUUUUUUUUUUUUUUUUUUGGUUGUUUGUUUUGAGAGAGAGUCUUGCUCUGUCUCCCUGGCUAGGGUGUGGUGGUGUGAUCUUGGCUCACGGCAGCCUUGCCCUCCCUGGCUCAAGCAGUCUUCAUCUCAGCCUCCAGAGUAGCUGGGACUACAGGCAUGUGAUAUGAUGCUCGGCUGAUUUUUGUUUACUUUUUAGAGAGAUGGGGUCUUGCCAUAUUUGCCAGGCUGGUUUGAACUCCUACAACUCAAGCAUUCCUCCCACCUUGGUCUCCCAAAAUGUUGGGACCACGGGUGUGAGCCACCGCGCCCAGCUAGCUCCUGUGUUUUGUUUUUGUUUUGUAACUUUGGUUGAUGUUAAGGCCCUCCAUUUUGGAAAGCAGGAAAACAGGAUUUUUUUUUUUUUAUCUUGUUCCCUGGAGGAUCCAGGGAUGAGGAUAGAGUGGCCUGAGAGCAGUGCUUGGAUUCAGCCUCCUGCUGGGUCCUUCUGCUGGAUACAGGCACCAAGAGGCGGGGGUGGAGCAGGGAGCUGCGCCUUCCUGGGGUGCCCGGUGGUGUGUAGAGAAAAGCUGCUUGUUUACUCCUUAAGUCAAUGUAUUGGUGACUGUUGAUUUGUUGAACAAUUCAGGAAUCAAGGGCUGUGGAGAAACUCCCUCAUGUUGUUGGCAACAGGUGAAUGAACCUAGAGCGGUGACAUGAAAAUAAAGCUCACUGUUACUCGC